AACCUCUCGGGGUCGCACCUGGAGAGUCUCCAGUCCUCUACCGGUCUCGACGACGGGAGGAAGAGUCCAGCGGAGGCCGACCCAUUCCAUUCCUAGCUUGGGCAGUGGCUAGCGAGCGGAAGGCAAUCUGCCACAAGU
rnacentral:snoRNA from 2 species